CUCCCAAGAACUCUUCAGGGAGGCUGCCAGGCCCAUCACACACACCCCACCAAUGAAAAGAUUCAAAACUCCAGCAGGGAAGAUAGGACGAAACCAGCAAAUUGUCUCCUCCUGCAUCCAAAUCGCUCAGCUGCUGGUUUGUGGCAAACAGUGGCAGGAAAUAUUUCCAGAGAAUUCGUCGGAUGCUUCAACCCUCUGAAGGACUAAGGCAUCCUCUGAAGUCUAUCUCGGGGGAAACUCAUCCUAUCUGUGCUUUCCGGAAUAACCUCCUCGAGGAGACCCGUGUGCCCAUGACUGCGAGAGUCUAGGUCGGAACACGAACGAGGGAAGUGGCUUCUUGGAGGAGCCCAUGCCCCAUCCCGAGAAGCAGCCGCGAGCUGUCACGUCUAGACAGUAGCAGCCAGGCAGGCCCGGGAUUGCCGGAUCUUCCCAUUUUUUCAAGAAAAGCCCCAAGUGAAGAUUUUCCUGUGAAAUCGGUCCAUUGUAAACCUUGGCUCCAAUUUUAAAAAAUGGUGCAGGCAAAAUAAACCGCACACGUGGGUGA